rnacentral:rRNA from 1 species
GACGAACGCUGGCGGCGUGCCUAAUACAUGCAAGUCGAGCGGAACUGGGGGAGCUUGCUCCUUCCAGUUUAGCGGCGGACGGGUGAGUAACACGUGGGCAACCUGCCCUGCAGCUCGGGAUAACUCCGGGAAACCGGUGCUAAUACCGAAUAGUUUGGCGCCUCUCCUGAGGCGCUACGGAAAGACGGUUUCGGCUGUCACUUCAGUAUGGGCCCGCGGCGCAUUAGCUAGUUGGUGGGGUAACGGCCCACCAAGGCGACGAUGCGUAGCCGACCUGAGAGGGUGACCGGCCACACUGGGACUGAGACACGGCCCAGACUCCUACGGGAGGCAGCAGUAGGGAAUCUUCCGCAAUGGACGCAAGUCUGACGGAGCAACGCCGCGUGAGUGACGAAGGUUUUCGGAUCGUAAAACUCUGUUGUGAGGGAAGAACACGUACCAACUAACUAUUGGUACCUUGACGGUACCUCACCAGAAAGCCACGGCUAACUACGUGCCAGCCGCCGCGGUAA